rnacentral:lncRNA from 1 species
AUGAAGGCAGAAGCUGGAAUUAAGGUUGCUAAGCAGCUGAUCUGAAUAUAGAGAAAUUAUUCUGGUUUAUCCAAGUGGUCCCAAUACAAUGACAAGGGUCCUUAAAAGGGGGAGAUGGAGGUAGAAGAAUCAGAAGGAUACGUGACUAAGAAUGGUCAGAGAUAUGCAACAUUGCUUUCUUUGAAUAUGGAGAAAGAGAGCCACAAGCCAAAGAAUGCAGGCAUCAUCUAGGAGCCGGAAAAGGCAAGGAAACAGAUUCACCCCUAUGGCUUCCAGGAGGAAUGCAGACCUGCUGACACCUUGAUUUAAGCCCAUAUGUGGGCCACCAGCACAGCAUGGAUGCUAACAGAGUGGUGUAGUCCACACCUGGGAACCAAAUCCAGGCCACUGAAGCAGAGUGUGCUGAACUUAACCACUAGCAUGGCUUGAUGAGCAGUAUAGGUCCACACCUGGGAUCCGAACCUGCAAACCUGGGCAGUCGAAGCAGAGCAUGCCAGACUUAACUACUGUGCCAUCAGGCCAGCCCCUACCCACUCUUUUAAUUGGAUUUUUUAUUUUCUUAUUUUUGAGCUUUAAGAGUUCUUUAUAUAUUUUGGAUAACAAUCCUCUAUCAGAUAUACCUCUUAAAAUGUUUUCUUAUGGUCUGUGGCUUGUCUUAUCAUUCUCUUGACAUUGUCUAUCUCCGAGGAGGAGUUUUUAAUCUUAAUCAUAUUUAGCUUAUCAAUUACUUUUUAUGAAUUGUGCCUUUGGUGUUUUGUCUAAAAAGUCAUCACCAUACUGAAGGUCACCGAGAUUUUCUCCUAUGUUAUCUUCUAAGAGGCUUAUAGUUUUGUGUUUUACAUUUAGGUCUCUGAUUAUUUUGAGUUAAUUUUUGUGAAGGGUGUAAGAUCUAUGUCUAGUUCCACUUUUUUCUUAUAUAGAUUUCCAGUUAUCCAAGCACCAUUUGUGGAAAAAACUUAAAUUUACUCUAUUGUAUUGCCUUUGCUCCUUUGUGAAAGAUCAGUUGACUGUAUUUGUGGGGGUCUAUUUCUGGGCUCUCUCUUCUGUUCCGCUGAUCUAUUUGUCUAUUCUUUCACCAACACCACACUGUCUUGAUUGCUGUGGCUUUAUAGCAAAUCUUGAAGUCAGCUAGUGUCCAACUUACAACUUUGUUCUUCUCCUUCAAUGUUGUUUCGGCUGUUCUGGGUCUCUUGCCUCUCCAUGUAACCUUUGCAUCAGUUUGUUGUGUCAACACAAAAUAACCUAUAAGCAUUCUAUGGAUAAGAGACAUAAAGUGAGUUUUACUUGAGCCCAAGUGAGGAUGAUAAUCUGGGAAGGCCUUUUCCAGAGAGGAAGAAAGCAUUCAGGAGAAGCAUGGUUUUCAGUAUAGUCUUAUACCUUUUAAAACAAAGAAACAUACAUUAAACACGCCCAGGAUACAUAUUCAUCAAAGUUUCAAAGAAGUUUUCAGUCUAAAAUUGGCAGGUCAACGUGACCCUCAUGCCCAGAAAGGGACUCAUAUAGGCAUUACCAAUAGGGUAUCAGAGGGGAAGUGUGCAUUCUUGUCUUAAGAGAGUGCAUUCUUUACUUGAAUGGUUAAAG